GUUAGCUUCAAAAGCACAUAUAAUAAAAAUUGUAAUAACAUAGAGAUUGGCAUGGCCCCUGCACAAGGAAGACAUGCAAAUUCAUGAAGCAUUCCAUACUGGC